rnacentral:rRNA from 1 species
UACAGAGGUCCCAAGCGUUGUUCGGAUUCAUUGGGCGUAAAGGGUGCGUAGGUGGCGCCGUAAGUCGGGUGUGAAAUUUCGGAGCUUAACUCCGAAACUGCAUUCGAUACUGCGGUGCUUGAGGAGUGGAGAGGAGAGUGGAAUUCAUGGUGUAGCAGUGAAAUGCGUAGAGAUCAGGAGGAAGACCAGUGGCGAAGGCGGGUCUCUGGACAGGUACUGACGCUGAGGCACGAAAGCGAGGGGAGCAAACAGG